GAUGAACGCUGGCGGCGUGCUUAACACAUGCAAGUCGAACGAAGCACUUUAUUUGAUUUCCUUCGGGACUGAUUAUUUUGUGACUGAGUGGCGGACGGGUGAGUAACGCGUGGGUAACCUGCCUUGUACAGGGGGAUAACAGUUGGAAACGGCUGCUAAUACCGCAUAAGCGCACGGCAUCGCAUGAUGCAGUGUGAAAAACUCCGGUGGUAUAAGAUGGACCCGCGUUGGAUUAGCUAGUUGGUGAGGUAACGGCCCACCAAGGCGACGAUCCAUAGCCGACCUGAGAGGGUGACCGGCCACAUUGGGACUGAGACACGGCCCAAACUCCUACGGGAGGCAGCAGUGGGGAAUAUUGCACAAUGGGCGAAAGCCUGAUGCAGCGACGCCGCGUGAGCGAAGAAGUAUUUCGGUAUGUAAAGCUCUAUCAGCAGGGAAGAUAAUGACGGUACCUGACAAAGAAGCACCGGCUAAAUACGUG
rnacentral:rRNA from 1 species